rnacentral:tRNA from 1 species
AGGGGUAUAGCUGAGUGGUGGAGCCUUUGCCUAGAAAGCAUGAGGCCCUGGGUUCAAGCCCCAGCAUCCCGC